CCACCCUCAAGAACCUGUAUGUUUAAUUCUAUUCUUUUUGAUAAUUUUUUUGGGGUUAUUCUAUUACUUAAUCGAUUUUAAAGCUUGCUGGAGAUUUGAACUGGUUCUGCUUGGAUUCAUUUGACCCUUAUUACCAUUUGAAGUAGCUACUUGUUAAAGGUUCAAUGUGAAAGUAAAUCGUACCAAUCAAAUGGGAAAUAUUUCAAAGAAAGAGCAUAUUUUGUCCAGUAUAUAGUUUUAGCUAAAAGCAAUUGAUUUUUGGUUUAAGGUUGGGCGGCAGUGACAUCUAUAAUCAGUGAUAGUGUGAUACUGAUACCUAUCCAGGCUGGACUUUGCCUGCCUGGAAUUUGAUUUCAAAAUCAUUUAGAUUGUUUUGCACGGUGGGAUAUUAACACGUUUGAGUUGCAGGAGCAUUGAGGGAAAUAAAUUUUCAGGAUCCAUUCCACCAGAAAUUGGAAAAUUGAUAAAGUUACAGAAAAUUAUCAUUUCAUCAAAUGCAUUCACAGGAAAAUUACCCUCAGAGCUUACCAAGUUGGUCAACUUGACUGAUUU
rnacentral:misc_RNA from 1 species